rnacentral:rRNA from 1 species
AGUCACUGACAUUAGACUACCCCGUAGUCCCAGCCGUAAACUAUGCGCGUUAGGUGUAUCGGUGACCACGAGUUACCGAGGUGCCGAAGGGAAACCGUGAAACGUGCCGCCUGGGAAGUACGGUCGCAAGGCUGAAACUUAAAGGAAUUGGCGGGGAGCACCACAACAGGUGGAGCCUGCGGUUUAAUUGGACUCAACGCCGGAAAUCUCACCGGAUAGGACAGACAUAUGAUAGUCGGGCUGAAGACUCUACUUGAUGAUCUG